GUGUCAGCAGCCGCGGUAAGACAGAGGGUGCAAACGUUGUUCGGAAUUACUGGGCGUAAAGCGCGUGUAGGCGGCUACGCAAGUCGGAUGUGAAAUCCCGUGGCUCAACCACGGAAGUGCACCCGAAACUGCGCAGCUUGAGUCUCGGAGAGGAAGGUGGAAUGCUUGGUGUAGAGGUGAAAUUCGUAGAUAUCAAGCGGAACACCGGUGGCGAAGGCGGCCUUCUGGACGAUGACUGACGCUGAGACGCGAAAGCGUGGGGAGCAAACAGGAUUAGAUACCCCUGUAGUCC
rnacentral:rRNA from 1 species